UCUGUUAGGUAAAGCACAGUUCGCUACUCAUGAAGAUCUAGAACUAGGAGGCACUUCUGGGUCAUCUUGUCCCAUCUCCUGCUUUAGUUAGGCAGUCAGUUCAUAAAACUUCAAUGCCAGCAGUCCAUUGGUUUCUCUUGUGACACCGAUUGCAAUUCGUUACACCCCCAGGUACAGGAACGAGGACCCGUGUCCUGAAAUGGAAAGGCAAAUGGAAGAAGUGCUGGUUUUGUGUAGCACAGGGUAUGUUUAUAGAAUUCACUACUACAGAAUGGCAUUGAGAGCGAGAACAUUGUGGUAUUAAAAUAAAUCAAAUAAUGCUUUUUAUC